GAUUAACGCUGGCGGCGUGCAUAACACAUGCAAGUCGAACGAUGAAACUUUAAUGAACCCUUCGGGGAGAAUUAAAGCGGAUUAGUGGCGAACGGGUGAGUAACGCGUGAGUAACCUGCCUUACACAGGGGGAUAGCCUUUGGAAACGAAGAAUAAUACCCUAUAAAACCAUAAAAGCACAUGCAAUUAUGGUCAAAGUGAUAGCGGUGUAAGAUGGACUUGCGUCUGAUUAGCUAGUUGGUGAGAUAAAGGCCCACCAAGGCAACGAUCAGUAGCCGGCUUGAGAGAGUGUACGGCCACAUUGGGACUGAGACACGGCCCAGACUCCUACGGGAGGCAGCAGUGGGGAAUUUUGCACAAUGGGGGAAACCCUGAUGCAGCGACGCCGCGUGAUUUAGAAGGCCUUCGGGUUGUAAAAAUCUUUUGUAUAGGAAGAAAAUGACAGUACUAUACGAAUAAGGUCCGGCUAAUUACGUG
rnacentral:rRNA from 1 species